CCGCGGUACUCUGACCGUGCAAAGGUAGCAUAAUCAUUUGCCUUAUAAUUGAAGGCUGGAAUGAAUGGUUUGACAAGAAUACAUCUGUCUCUUUAUGAUUAUUUAGAAUUUUAUUUUUAGAUGAAAAAGUCUAGAUGAUAUUAAAAGACAAGAAGACCCUAUCGAGCUUUAAAAAAAUUAGCAGGCAUACUAGAAUUCAAUAUCAGUAAAAGAAAGGCUGUUAAAUAUUUUGGUUGGGGCAACCUAGGAGUAAGUAAAGCCUCCUAAUUAUAGUAAGUCGGACUUGUGUUGAUCCAGGUAUAAUGAUCAAAGGAAUUAGUUACCGUAGGGAUAACAGCAUUAUCUUUUUUGAGAGCCCAUAUCGAAAAAAAGGUUUGUGACCUCGAUGUUGGACCAGAAUGUCCUAAAGAUGCAGAAGUCUUUGA
rnacentral:rRNA from 1 species